AAACAUAGAACGAUUGCGAUAGCUGUCUUGCACACACAUCAUGGUAAAAUAUUCAUCAGUACGAAUAAUAUGCUGACUAAAGUUUAUUAACACUAAAGGACAAAAAGACCCUCUGAAGCUUUAUAGGGAUAAAACUUGGGUAACAUUCUCAAUCAAAUAUUCUUAUUGCAUGCCAGCUAAAGUAGUAAAUUAUUGGUUUUCUCCUAAGACCACUGUUUAAUUGGGGCGAUAACCUUAUCAACAGCCACCUAAGGUGAACAAAGCGAUACAAGGAUCCUAAACUUUUGACCAACUAAUAAGUGCAAAGAUACAUGUUUCGCUUAAUGGCCCAACAAGUCCUUCCCAGUACUUAAAUGCUAUCUUAAUGAGCUUUAAAUUAAUUUACCCGAGUUAAGCUACUCUACGGAUAACAGGCUUAAUUUCCGCAAUAUUAAAGGUCACAUUAUCACGAAAAAUGUACCUCGAUGUCGGCUUAUCAUC
rnacentral:rRNA from 1 species